rnacentral:tRNA from 1 species
GUGCUGCUGUGGCGGGCGGGCGGCGAUGUCGGCCAGUACCUGAUCCACGUCGAGGUACUUGUACUUCAGCGCGAUGUUCAGCUCGUCCAGCAGCACG